rnacentral:rRNA from 1 species
CCUACGGGAGGCAGCAGUGGGGGAUAUUGCACAAUGGGGGGAACCCUGAUGCAGCGACGCCGCGUGGGUGAAGGAGUGCUUCGGCAUGUAAAGCCCUAUCGGCAGGGAAGAAGCAAGACGGUACCUGACUAAGAAGCCCCGGCUAACUACGUGCCAGCAGCCGCGGUAAUACGUAGGGGCCGAGCGUUAUCCGGAUUCACUGGGUUUAAGGGGAGCGUAGACGGGCAGGCAAGCCAGGGGUGAAAGCCCGGGGCCCAACCCGGGGAGUGCCAUUGGAACUGCAUGGCUGGAGUGCGGGAGGGGUAGGCGGAAGUCGUGGUGUAGCGGUGAAAUGCGUAGAUAUCAGGAAGAACACCGAGGGCGAAGGCAGCUUACUAAACUGCGACGGACGUUGAUGCUCGAAAGCGUGGGGAUCAAACAGGAUUAGAUACCCUAGUAGUC